AUAUCAAUAAGCGGAGGAAAAGAAACCAACAGGGAUUGCCUCAGUAACGGCGAGCGAAGCGGCAAAAGCUCAAAUUUGAAAUCUGGCGUCUUUGGCGUCCGAGUUGUAAUUUGAAGAAAGUAACUUUGGAGUUGGCCUUUGCACAUGUUCCUUGGAAUAGGACAUCAUAGAGGGUGAGAAUCCCGUACAUGGUGAGGUGCCCAACUCUUUGUAAAGUGCUUUCCAAGAGUCGAGUUGUUUGGGAAUGCAGCUCUAAGUGGGUGGUAAAUUCCAUCUAAGGCUAAAUAUUGGCGAGAGACCGAUAGCGAACAAGUACAGUGAUGGAAAGAUGAAAAGAACUUUGAAAAGAGAGUGAAAAAGUACGUGAAAUUGUUGAAAGGGAAGGGCUUGAGAUCAGACUUGGCUUGUAGUGAUCAACUGUCUUUCGGGACUGUGCACUCGCUGCUUGCUAGGCCAACAUCGGUUUUGGCGGUAAGAUAAUAGCAAUUGAACGUGGCUCUUCGGAGUGUUAUAGCUUUUGUUGAUAUUACCAGCUGGGACCGAGGACCGCGCUUCGGCUAGGAUGUUGGCGUAAUGAUCUUAAGCCAC
rnacentral:rRNA from 1 species